rnacentral:lncRNA from 1 species
AUUAAUGUUAAAAAAUGAAUGAACUUGUUUGACUUAUACAUUUUCACUAGAAUAUUUGAAGAAGAAACCAUAAAAAGAAGAAAAAAAAAUAAAAUUAGCCCACCCCAAUAUAAAUUCAUCUUUCCGCCCUUGACAAUAACCACAAGGGGUUAAUCCCAAUAUGGAAGAGUUCACUAGCAACAACAAACGCACAAGGUGUACCUCCGCUCAUAAUCUACAUGUACUUUCUUUGCUAAUGUUGACGAGAGAAAAAAUAAAAUAAAAAGACCGUCACAAGACCUUAAAGUAGUAUGUACCUCCGCUCAUAAUCUACAUAUACUUAAGUAUUCAAAUUUAAAAUGAAAAAAAAAACGUAUUCAAAUUAAAAUAUAUUUUGGCCUUAGUAUUUUAAUUCGUAUCAAAUUUUAUUUCAUUUGCUUGAUUGAAAUGACCUUUUUAUUCUUACACGCGGUGCACACAGAGGACUCAAUUGAACAUAUAUAUACUAUGGACACAAACCACAAGACGCAUAAGGAGCAUCUGUGCAAUUUAUUCAAUUUCAUAUUUUCAGUUUUAGUUUGAAUUACAGGAGAAAAGUGGACCAUUCCCACCCCUG